AGAGUUUGAUCAUGGCUCAGGAUGAACGCUAGCUACAGGCUUAACACAUGCGAGUCGAGGGGCAGCAUGUUGGUUGCUUGCAACCAACGAUGGCGACCGGCGCACGGGUGAGUAACGCGUAUCCAACCUACCCUUGUCCAUCGGAUAACCCGUCGAAAGGCGGCCUAACACGAUAUGCGGUUCACAGCAGGCAUCUAACGUGAACGAAAUGUAAAGGAGAAGGAUGGGGAUGCGUCUGAUUAGCUUGUUGGCGGGGUAACGGCCACAAGGCUACGAUCAGUAGGGUUCUGAGAGGAACGGCCCCCACAUUGGAACUGAGACACGGUCCAAACUCCUACGGGAGCA
rnacentral:rRNA from 1 species